rnacentral:rRNA from 1 species
UACGUAGGGGGCAAGCGUUGUCCGGAAUCAUUGGGCGUAAAGAGCGCGUAGGCGGCCCUGUAAGUCCGCUGUGAAAGUCAAGGGCUCAACCCUUGGAUGCCGGUGGAUACUGCAGGGCUAGAGUCCGGAAGAGGCGAGUGGAAUUCCUGGUGUAGCGGUGAAAUGCGCAGAUAUCAGGAGGAACACCAGCGGCGAAGGCGGCGCUCUGGGCUGGAACUGACGCUGAGGAGCGAAAGCGUGGGGAGCGAACAGG